GCCCUUGUAGCUCAGUUGGUAGAGCAAUUGAUUUGUAAUCAAUAGGUCCGCGGUUCGAAUCCGUGCGGGGGCACCA
rnacentral:tRNA from 17 species